rnacentral:misc_RNA from 1 species
AACGCACAUUGCGCCCGCCAGCAUUCUGGCGGGCAUGCCUGUUCGAGCGUCAUUUCAACCCUCAAGCCCCGGCUUGGUGUUGGGGCCCUGCGCCUGCAGGCCCUCAAAUCCAGUGGCGGACGCGCCAGGUCCCCGAGCGCAGUAGUCUCUCCUCGCUCAGGGCGGCCGGCGCGGGCUUGCCUCGCACCCGUCCCACCAAAGGUUGACCUCGGAUCAGGUAGGAAUACCCGCUGAACUUAA